UACGAAGGGGCGAGCGUUGUUCGGAUUUACUGGGCGUAAAGGCGCGUAGGCGGCGGGUCAAGUCGAACGUGAAAUCCCCGGGCUCAACCCGGGAACUGCGUCCGAUACUGGAAGGCUUGAAUCCGGGAGAGGGAUGCGGGAAUUCCGAAGGUGUAGCGGUGAAAUGACGUAGAUAUCUGGAGGAACACCGGGUGGCGAAGGCGGCAUCCUGGACCGGUACUUGGACGCGUGAGGCG
rnacentral:rRNA from 1 species